UACGUAGGGGGCAAGCGUUGUCCGGAUUUAUUGGGCGUAAAGAGCGUGUAGGCGGCUAUACAGGUCCGCUGUGAAAACUCGGGGCUCAACCUCGAGACGUCGGUGGAAACCGUAUGGCUAGAGUCCGGAAGAGGAGAGUGGAAUUCCUGGUGUAGCGGUGAAAUGCGCAGAUAUCAGGAAGAACACCCGUGGCGAAGGCGGCUCUCUGGGACGGUACUGACGCUGAGACGCGAAAGCGUGGGGAGCGAACAGG
rnacentral:rRNA from 1 species